GGAAAAUAAAAAAAUAAAAAAAUAUGUAUAUUUUAUUAUGAAACUCGAUUAGCGUGCAAGAAAAGAAAAAAAAACAAAGGAAUUUGUCUUCUUCUCCUCCUUUGUUUUAGCCGUGGGGAAUCCAGCCACCGCUGUCCACGAUCCACGAUCGCCGCGCCUACAGAGACCCAACCGCCGGCCUAAGCUCCGCCUGGUCAUCCGUCCGUGUACGCCGCCAGUUUGCGGGUUUGCCGUUGGAGUUGCAGCAGCUCAUCACGCGUCCGCCGUGGAACUUCUUAGUCCGUUCUCGCGUCGUCCACCGUCGCAGUAACCUAUCCUCAUGUCGUCCGCCCCCCCUAUAGCCACCGGUCAUUGGUCUCGUCCUCCACCGCUGUCGUUCGCUGUCAGUUGCCGUAAUCUUGAGAUUUGGAUUUGGAAAUUGAAGGUUACUAAGCCGCUAUCAGCAAUAUCAAAAGUGUUUUUGCACGUUUUGAUUGGGAGAUUUGUUUGGGAGUUUUGAAGCGAUUUUUGGGAGUAAACUACACUUUGGGUAGUGAAAACUAGAAUGGAGGUUGGUUUGUUAAAGUUUGGGGCUUAAAAUUAAGCAAUUCCACCAUUCGAAUGGUAGUUAAGAACCUCGUCGUUCGAACAACCGCAUCAUUCAAGCACUCCAUUCGAGAAGCUCAAUCGUUCGAGCAGAAUCUGGGCAAUGUGUCUAGAAUCUGUAUGUGAAAUCCAUAAAUCAAAAUCAGCACAUAUAUAACCGAAGUAGAGAAGCCAAAUCAGGGCAACCGCGAACUCGAUUGAGUAGAUCUUGAGUGGAACUAGGUAGAUCUACAUGAACUCUAGGCGGUCCAAAAGACGGACGGACCUGGGUUCACGACUGGCGGCAGAUCUAUAGCAGGGGGUGGCGGCUUGAGUUUGCCACACAAAGGUCAGUAAAUUUUUCUUACACAAUUUCAAAAUCUCUUUUAUUCAAAGUAUUCUCUAUUUUUUUUUUUUUUUAUGCAAUCUGAAUCACAUUUAAAUUUUAAUGUCCUAUUCUGGAUGUGAGCAAAAGUAGAGUUGUAUAAUGUUUGGAUGAUAAGAAGAUUUAUAGGCAUUAUAUAAUUGGAAUGGUUAAUUUCUUCUUUAAGAAAAAAAAAAAAAAAAAAAAAAAACUUGAUUUUGUAGCUUUGUAGAUAAUGAAUUAUGAAAUUUUGAAGUUUUGGUUUUAAUGGAAAUUCUGAAAUUUUAGUGUGUACCAUAUUUUAGUAUGAAACUUAGAAAGUGUUUCAUUCUAUUCUCAAUUUUAUAUUGAUAAAAUAUACAUUCUUCCGAGAAAAAAUUAGCGAUAAAGUAUGAAUAGAAGUUGAGUAAUAAGUUUCCUUUCACUUCCCGGUAUAAGAAAUAAGUUAUUCUUGAAUCUCUUGUGAACUAAAAAAAUGUAAUCAAUUUCUUUAAGAUUUAUUUUUUUUUAUAAACUAUAUCCAUGUUCAAGUUUUUCUUUUAUCUCUUUUCUUGUGCUAAUUAUGCUUUUGGGUGACGUGAGAAAAUAUACUAAAACAGUUGUUCUACUGUUUAUGAUGCCCUGUAAUUAAAAAUUUUAUUGCAAGUUGCUUGACUUGAUUGUUCAAGCAAUUUUGGGAGUUGGCCUCACAUAUAAAAAACUGCUAGAGAACCAAAUUUCAAAACAAGAACAUUUAGUGGAUUUAGUCCUUCUAUAAGUUAAAAAAAAAUUGAACCAUUGGGGAAAAUGCAUUCUAUAUAUACUGUUGCUGACAAAUUAUAUAGUAUAUUGAGGAAAUUAUUGGUAUACCUAGGGAUUUUCUUAUACUUUUUAUUAGGAAGUGAUGAGAGAUAUGGAUGCAAAACUAAUUUCACUGAAAAAAUGAAAUAAACAAGAUCAAAGCUUGCAAAUGUCAAAGAAUUAUAGAGUGUCAGUUUAUUUGACAUUUCUAGUGGGGUGGUAUCUUUACUUUAGUAUGUCAGUAUUAUUUAAUUUUUCAUAGAGAAGAGUAUUAUUUAAUCUGAGGGUGAGGGGCAUUGUUUGUAUUUCCUUUUUAGUACCCUUUCUGCUGUACCAGUAAAUAUUUCUUUCUAUGUUGUCUCUUUGCAUUCAAAUAUUUCUUUAUUUUUUAGUACCCUUUUUGCUGUAGCUUACACACACAUAUAUGAACUAUUCUUUGUUUCUUGUUGUCUUAUUGGUCAUUUGAAAAAAAAACGUAGUAGUUUCUAAGUUGUGAUUCAAAUAAAUGCUUCAAGAUAUCUCCUAUGUGGUUUUAUUUAUUUUAGUAAUAGGUGAAAUUUUUUCCCCUUGGUUUCCUUUA